GGCGAGCUCUACGCGGCGGGAGCGCGGCGGGGUAGGCGAGAAGCAGCGGUGGGCGACGCUUGCUGCAGCCGGAAACGGGAGAGGAGAGGCGAGCAGCAGCGGGGAGCGGCGUGCGCGGCAGCCGGCAACAGGAGAGGGGAGCAGCCGGCCAGGAAUUUGGGACCCGGCUUUGACCGGAUGAUUUUUUUUUAAUUUUUUUUUCGAUUUUCUUUGCCGGAGGUUGGCCUGCGGCAAAGUCUCCUAGCACAUGCCCUUCCGUCUACCUCCGUCCGUGAUGUGUCUGUUACUUUUCUUUGCCGGCGGCCUCUUUUUUGGCCUCCGGCAAAGCCUUUGCCAAAGGGCCCGAGAUAAGGGCGUCGGCAAAGAGGCCUUUACUGAUAGUGGUCCAUGCCAACGGCCUUAGCCGGCAGUCACGUGGAAAAGCCUCCGGCAAAGGCUUUGCCGGAGGCCUUAGGCCGCCGGCAAAAAUGUUUUUCCCGUAGUGUACCAUUUGCUCUAUUGAUAAAUCCAUUUUCUUUUCGAUGUUUUUAGGGGAAAUUAAGUGUCUAGUUCGGAAAGAAAUUAAGUUCUAUACUUGCUUGUUAACUUGUUGCCAGCCUUGCUCCAUUUCCUUCAACAACAAAAAAUUCGAGCUCCAGUUCACAGGCCGAAUAUCAGUGUUGGGCUUUUACCACCGGUGGCCCAUCUAAACGUCAGCAUAACCUCGGCCGGUCCUCCUCCUCCUCUCUCCCAUUUCCCGUUUCCUCUUCCUUUCUCCGCCGUUUCCCCACGAAGGAGGUGGUAUGCUGCCGUGUUGCACCAAUGGCUGCGGCGCAAAGGGCGCAUCUAGAUUUAGAGCAGGCAAACUCCCCGAGACCUCAACCUCAGGCAAUGGUCGCGC
rnacentral:lncRNA from 1 species